rnacentral:rRNA from 1 species
GAUGAACGCUGGCGGCGUGCCUAACACAUGCAAGUCGAGCGAUUUACUUCGGUAAAGAGCGGCGGACGGGUGAGUAACGCGUGGGUAACCUGCCCUGUACACACGGAUAACAUACCGAAAGGUAUGCUAAUACGAGAUAAUAUGCUUUUAUCGCAUGGUAGAAGUAUCAAAGCUUUUGCGGUACAGGAUGGACCCGCGUCUGAUUAGCUAGUUGGUAAGGUAACGGCUUACCAAGGCGACGAUCAGUAGCCGACCUGAGAGGGUGAUCGGCCACAUUGGAACUGAGACACGGUCCAAACGCCUACGGGAGGCAGCAGUGGGGAAUAUUGCACAAUGGGCGAAAGCUUGAUGCAGCAACGCCGCGUGAGCGAUGAAGGCCUUCGGGUCGUAAAGCUCUGUCCUCAAGGAAGAUAAUGACGGUACUUGAGGAGGAAGCCCCGGCUAACUACGUGCCAGCAGCCGCAGUAAGAC